UUCCUUCCUUUUCUUUUCAGCAUUCCAGUUGGCUUUUGAGUGGACACUUGCAGUGAGAGCAUUGACACUGGAAACACUAGUUCCCAUUUUAAUUACUUAAAACACCACGAUGAAAAGAAAUACCUGUGAUUUGCUUUCUCGGAGCAAAAGUGCCUCUGAGGAAACACUACAUUCCAGUAAUGAAGAGGAAGACCCUUUCCACGGAAUGGAACCCUAUCUUGUCCGGAGACUUUCAUGUCGCAAUAUUCAGCUUCCCCCUCUCGCUUUCAGACAGUUGGAACAAGCUGACUUGAAAAGUGAAUCAGAGAACAUUCAACGACCAACCAGCCUCCCACUGAAGAUUCUGCCACUGAUUGCUAUCACUUCUGCAGACUCCAGUGGGUGAGUGCCCUCAAGAUGUCACUUCCCCAUUUUAUAUUUUAGAUGUGAUUGUUAUCUGUGGUCUUUUGAGUUUUUGUGGCUCAUUGCUUGAUUUGAGUGGGAGAACAAUGGGGUUUCUAGAGUAAAAAAAAAAAGGGAUGAAUUUCUCUGGUGAUAUAUCUAUAUCUGCAGGAGAAGACAUUUUAGUGAAAUUGUUUUACAAAGAAGAGCUGAAAAUGUGUUGGUGAAUGCUAAUAAACAUUUGCAAAAGGGCAGUUGUACUUGGAAAAUUAAUAUUGGCCAUAUGUGACUUGAUAGAAAAAAUUUUAACAAAUGAGAACUAAUGGACAAAUUACCGUGUAGUGAUACAUGACUAGAAACAAUAGGAAAUGUUCACUGAUGCAAAAUGAAUUUGGCAUCAAGAAUAGAUUGUAUUGUAAUUAGAAUCAAAAGAAAUAUGCAAUGGUAUUCAUGAGUCUAAAAAUUUUGCCUUUGACAUUUCGAACUAUUGCUUACCAGAAUGCCAUUUCAGCUCCCAGUAUAAGGUAAAUUUAUUUAGUAUUAGUAUUUAUAGAGGAGUCAGCCACAGCCACAUCUCCAUCGUGUAACAUUUUUAUUUCCUACUUUGCAGGGUAUGGUUUUUGUUUUUAUUCUUUUUCGUAUUGUUUAUCAAUGGGGUUUUACACUUUAAAGCAAUGUCACUAGGUUAAAAAUUAUGAAAGAAAGUAAGGAUAUUGGGCACAUUCAUUAUUUGUUCUUGUGACCAGCUGCAUUUUUAAGAAGCCUGGAUAGAAAGGAAAGAGGAUGAAGCCAGUGGGCCAUACAUAUAUAGACUCUUGAACAUUUGCUAAAACUACAAGAACAAAACAAUGACUAUGCUACAAAUGUGAUGCUCCCACAUUGUCUGCCAAGUUAAAGGUAUCUCUGGGGAAAAUGCCUUUUUGGAUCUUGUUAAAGUUAGGAAGGUUAUGCUCAGAGGAAAUUUGACUAGUAACUCAACUCAAAGAUAUUGAAUUUAGCUGUUUUACUUGUUAUUGACCUGUCUAAGGGAACUGUGUUAGGAAAAGGUAUGAGGAAAAUACUACUAGAUAAAUAAUAAGACAACAAAUAUUCACUCUGAAGCAAUGAAAAGAGGGAAUAUAUUUUGUUUCUGUUGUUGUAAUUGAGCUAUGUGUUUAAAGAAGAAUGCAUGCACUUUGAUCAAACUCAUACUAAAGCAGAUGGGAAUUUUAUAACAGCUUGACCAGAACAUUUUUUGAAAAAUGCUCUUCCCCUGAAACUUAUUUCUCCUUUCUUUGGAAUUGACAUUGCUGCUGUUCUGUCUGUGUAGAAAAUUCACAGAUAUCAGGUGUAUCCAGGGUUCCCAAGACCACCCUUGGGUUCAACGAUUUGCUAGGAGAGCUCUCAAAAUUCAGGAAAUAGUCAUAUUCAUGGCUCUGAUGUGUCACAGGAAAAGGAUUCAAUGCAGAAUAAGCAAAGGGAAAGGUAGAUGGGACAAAAUCUGGAGGAAACCAAACGUAAGCUUCCAAGAGUCCUCAAAUGAAGUAAGACAAGAUACACUUAAUUCCUCUGGUAAUGAGUUGAGACAAUACAUGUGAAAUGUGUUCACCAGGGAUGCCUUUACCAGGGAAGCCUAUUAAAGACUCAGUACCUAGAGUUUUUACUGGAGGCCAGUCACUUAGGGACCCUCUGCCUAGGAUAUACAAAGUUCCAGAUUUCCAGAAGGAAAGUGGAUAUUCAGCAUAAACCACAUUAUUUGCACAGACAAUUUAGGCAAAUUGAGCCACUCUUACCAUUUACAGAAUGAUGGAUCACUCCUGAAAUUAAAGUCCACUAAAGACCCGUGGACUUUAAUAUAUUUUAAAUUUCUAUAUUUAAUUGACACAGUCCUGAUUAACUGUUUACUAUACAGCAGGUUAUCUUAGAAUAGUUAUCUUACUUUCUUCACACUUGUGGAAGAUGAGAUUAUAAUUAAAAUUAAAAUGUACUAAUUUAAAGCCCUGAUGUAUUCAGUUAGCUUUGGUAUCUCAAAAAUUUUGGUUGCAAACCAUGAUUUCUCAUUUUGAGUUGGUGUUAUAUCAUGUGCCCUUAAAAUAAAAUGAUGCGAUAUACCUA